rnacentral:rRNA from 1 species
UACGUAGGGUGCGAGCGUUGUCCGGAAUUAUUGGGCGUAAAGGGCUCGUAGGCGGUUUGUCGCGUCGGGAGUGAAAACACACAGCUUAACUGUGUGCUUGCUUCCGAUACGGGCAGACUAGAGGUAUGCAGGGGAGAACGGAAUUCCUGGUGUAGCGGUGAAAUGCGCAGAUAUCAGGAGGAACACCGGUGGCGAAGGCGGGUCUCUGGGCAACUACUGACGCUGAGGAGCGAAAGCGUGGGGAGCGAACAGG